rnacentral:rRNA from 1 species
UAGCGAAGGGUGCAAACGUUUGCUGCGGAAUCAAUUGGGCGUAAAGCGCACGUAGGCGGCCUGUUAAGUCGGAUGUGAAAUCCCUCGGCUCAACCGAGGACGUGCACCCGAAACUGGCGGGCUCGAGUAUGGGAAGAGGGUCGCGGAAUUCCCGGUGUAGAGGUGAAAUUCGAUAGAUAUCGGGAGGAACACCAGGUGGCGAAGGCGGCGACCUGGGCCAAUACUGACGCUGAGGUGCGAAAGCGUGGGGGAGCAAACAGG